UUAAUCUUAGUUGGUCAAAGUGUCUGUCUUGUAAACAGAAGAUCAGGAGUUCGAAUCUCGUCUUUACCUGAA